UACGUAGGGGGCAAGCGUUGUCCGGAUUUACUGGGCGUAAAGAGCGUGUAGGCGGCCAAGCAGGUCCGUUGUGAAAACUGGAGGCUUAACCUCCAGAACGUCGACGGAAACCGCGUGGCUAGAGUCCGGAAGAGGAGAGUGGAAUUCCUGGUGGUAGCGGUGAAAUGCGCAGAUAUCGGGAAGAACGACCCGUGGCUAAGGCGGCUACUCUAGUACGGUACGUGACGCUGAGACGCGAAAGCGUGGGGAGCGAACGAGG
rnacentral:rRNA from 1 species